rnacentral:rRNA from 1 species
GACGAACGCUGGCGGCGUGCUUAACACAUGCAAGUCGAACGGAAAGGCCCUGCUUUUGUGGGGUGCUCGAGUGGCGAACGGGUGAGUAACACGUGAGUAACCUGCCCUUGACUUUGGGAAAACUUCGGGAAACGGGGCCUAUUACGGAAUAGAAGUCCCGCCGGCAGGUGGGGGGUGGAAAGGUUCGGCGGUUGGGGAUGGACUCGCGGCUUAUCAGCUUGUUGGUGGGGUAGUGGCUUACCAAGGCUUUGACGGGUAGCCGGCCUGAGAGGGUGACCGGCCACAUUGGGACUGAGAUACGGCCCAGACUCCUACGGGAGGCAGCAGUGGGGAAUAUUGCACAAUGGGCGGAAGCCUGAUGCAGCAACGCCGCGUGCGGGAUGACGGCCUUCGGGUUGUAAACCGCUUUCGCCUGUGACGAAGCGUGAGUGACGGUAAUGGGUAAAGAAGCACCGGCUAACUACGUG